GGGCUCCACUCAGCACUUCAGCAGCACCACUACUGCACCAAAUGAAGUAACAGAGACAGAUGUCACCCGAAGCCCUCCAGAUGGGUGGUGGGCCCAUGUCGGCCAUGCUUUCUGACUCACAGGGUUUGGGGAGAGUGUCCAGGGAGGAGCAGGCUGGAGUGCCAGUGGAGGCAGGUCUGCCUGUCAUUCACCCUCUUCCCCACGCGUGGACGAUCCCUCCAAGAACCUGCUUUCCAGGGUCAUCCGUCGGGGCAGAAGAACCCGGCUAAAGACCCAGAAGUUUUGAGGCCCUAUUGGGCUGUCAGCACCAUGGACAGCAAAACAGCCCUUGAGCGGCUGCCCAACAAAUUUGCUAACAUCUUGGACUCCGUUUUCCCUGUUUAAGAGAGAUUGACACAAUGAAGCUUGCCUAAGAAAUGCAACCAAUUGUUUUCUAAUAGUAAAACACAAGGUAUAGGGGUGGGAGUUGGGGGAUAGUCAAUGUGGUCCCGGCAGCGGAAAUAAAUGUGUUUCUUAUCUGUAUCCUCCAGCUGGUUCCAGGCUCUUCUCCUCUGACAUUAUUAAAAGCCUGGCAGGUACUUUGAAUGUUUGUUUC
rnacentral:lncRNA from 1 species